rnacentral:rRNA from 1 species
GCUGCGGGCUCCGGACUUUGACAAUCCCCCGCGUGCGAUCCCAGGUCAGGCGGGGCUACCCGCUGAGUUUAAGCAUAUCAAUAAGCGGAGGAAAAGAAACUAACGAGGAUUCCCUUAGUAGCGGCGAGCGAAUCGGGAAGAGCCCAGCAUGAGAAUCGUCCGUCAUCGGCGGCCGAAUUGUAGUCUGGAGAAGCGUCCCUCAGUGACGGACCGGACCCAAGUUCACUGGAAGGUGGCGCCGGAGAGGGUGAGAGCCCC